rnacentral:rRNA from 1 species
AAUCAACGCUGGCGGCGCGCCUAACACAUGCAAGUCGGACGAGAAAGGCGGGGCAACCCGCUGAGUAAAGUGGCGUACGGGUGAGUAACACGUGGGUAACCUGCCCUCUGGUGGGGAAUAACCUGCCGAAAGGCGGGCUAAUACCGCGUACGCUUCCCGGUCUGCGGGCCGGGAAGGAAAGCCAUGCCGUGGGUAUGGCGCUCGAGGAUGGGCUCACGUCCUAUCAGCUAGUUGGUAGGGUAACGGCCUACCAAGGCGAUGACGGGUAGCUGGUCUGAGAGGACGAUCAGCCACACUGGCACUGAGACACGGGCCAGACUCCUACGGGAGGCAGCAUG